rnacentral:rRNA from 1 species
AUACGCAGGUGGCAAGCGUUGUCCGGAAUUUUUGGGCGUAAAGCGCAUGUAGGCGGUGCCUUAAGUCUGUCGUGAAACUGCGGGGCCUAACCCCGUAUGGCGAUGGAAACUGUGGCACUUGAGUGCAGGAGAGGAAAGGGGAACUCCCAGUGUAGCGGUGAAAUGCGUAGAUAUUGGGAAGAACACCGGUGGCGAAGGCGCCUUUCUGGACUGUGUCUGACGCUGAGAUGCGAAAGCCAGGGUAGCGAACGGGAUUAGAUACCCCGGUAGUCCUGGCCGUAAACGAUGGGUACUAGGUGUGGGAGGUAUCGACCCCUUCCGUGCCGGAGUUAACGCAAUAAGUACCCCGCCUGGGGAGUACGGCCGCAAGGCUUAAACUCAAAGGAAUUGACGGGG